CAGGUUGCAGAGACAAAAGAGAAUUAAUGAGACACUGUUUCUCUUGCAAGGUGAACUAAAUAUGUAAGAGUGACACCCAACACUAAGGCUACCUCCUCACGCCACUAGACACACAAAACUUAAAACAAGAUAGACAUCCCAGAAUAGAGGUGUUUUUGUGUUACUGUAGAAUAUAAACUCGCCUAGCACUCACAAAAUGUGACAACUUCAUCCAGUGGUUGGUGGGAUGCAUGAGCCGCAGUAAAUGCAUUCUAUUCUGCCUGGACCACCGCAGACCAACUAAGAUGCUGUGAUUUAUCACAAUAGUGACACUGCUGGAUGACUGUGUAUGAACACACUACCAACUAUACUGCACAACAAUCACCAGAAUGUUCAACUUACUUGCUGAAGGCCUACUGCACUGAAAAUUGCAACAAAUAUUACACUUAACACCUGAGGCCUGCCAUAAAAACUAAAGGAGUCACACACUUAGUGGACAUGGAAUUCUCAACUUGGUAUAAAGAAAUUUGAGAAAUCGGUGGCUGAAUUCGGACAUGGCUGUACUUUCCUUGAAGAUGGUGCACUUGAAGGAUGUACCGAAAAUGGUAAGCCUUAGUCAUUUGAGAUAGUGAGGCUGCCUAUGUAAAAGUUUUAUUUAAAUUUGUAGUGCAGAUUUGAUGUAUUGAGCUACUAUAAUAAACAGUGUGGGUUUGAUUAUUA